CCUACGGGGGGCUGCAGUGAGGAAUAUUGGUCAAUGGGCUGACGCCUGAACCAGCCAAGUCGCGUGAGGGAAUACUGCCCUAUGGGUUGUAAACCUCUUUUGUCAGGGAGCAACGCCGUCCACGUGUGGACGGACUGAGAGUACCUGAAGAAAAAGCAUCGGCUAACUCCGUGCCAGCAGCCGCGGUAAUACGGAGGAUGCGAGCGUUAUCCGGAUUUAUUGGGUUUAAAGGGUGCGUAGGCGGAAUGCCAAGUCAGCGGUAAAAUCGCGGGGCUCAACCCCGCUGCGCCGUUGAAACUGGCGUUCUUGAGUGAGCGAGAAGUAUGCGGAAUGCGUGGUGUAGCGGUGAAAUGCAUAGAUAUCACGCAGAACUCCGAUUGCGAAGGCAGCAUACCGGCGCCCAACUGACGCUGAAGCACGAAAGUGUGGGUAUCGAACAGGAUUAGAUACCCUGGUAGUC
rnacentral:rRNA from 1 species